rnacentral:rRNA from 1 species
UACGAAGGGUGCAAACGUUGCUCGGAAUUAUUGGGCGUAAAGAGCUCGUAGGCGGUUUGUCGCGUCUGCCGUGAAAGUCCGGGGCUCAACUCCGGAUCUGCGGUGGGUACGGGCAGACUAGAGUGAUGUAGGGGAGACUGGAAUUCCUGGUGUAGUGGUGAAAUGCGUAGAUAUCGGGAGGAACACCAGUGGCGAAGGCGACUACCUGGCCUGUUCUUGACGCUGAGGCGCGAAAGCUAGGGGAGCAAACGGG